rnacentral:lncRNA from 1 species
UUGGUGUUCACGUAGAGCUUGGGCCCGAAAAAACUGAACUGCAAAGAAGGCGUACUUCUCUGCUUACGUUGUGGACCGAGGGGCAGAUCACUGAACACUGGGGCCCACUGUCUCGGUAACUGGAAUUCCAGAAACUGAUGGAGCUCUUCGAUUGGCGGUUUAUCUCGUAAGUAGAGAUUUAUGGCGUGACUCAAGUAUCCACUUCCUGAAACGCCAUUCAGCAAUGAGGUUAUUGGAAUGAAGGACAUUGUGAUGACGUCAGGCUCUAACUGUACGCUAUGCAAC